rnacentral:lncRNA from 1 species
CCCAGGGUCGACGGGAGGAGGCGAUGCGUACGAGUAUAAUUUUUGCAGCGAAUCGUUUGUUCCUUUUGCGUUGCAGAUAAAUGAUGGAGCGCGGGAUGAAUAACAAAAAUUACAGGGGCUUUUUUAUAAAAAUGCCACGGUGGGUUUUCCGACGGAAGCAAUAGCCUCUUUAUUAUUAUUAGGUAGGUAUAGGUAUAUAGAUUAGGUAUAGAUUAAUUUGAGACUGAGAUCGUUUUUUUAUUGAAUCUGUACUAUUAAUAAAAGAUCAAACAAAAACUUCUCUAAGUACACACAACUAUUACCCCCACAAAAA